GAUGAAGAACGCAGCGAAAUGCGAUACUUGGUGUGAAUUGCAGAAUCCCGUGAACCAUCGAGUCUUUGAACGCAAGUUGCGCCCGAAGCCACUAGGCCGAGGGCACGCCUGCCUGGGCGUCACACGCCGUUGCCCCCCCAUCUACUCCUUCGGGAUUGCGGGGGGGCGGAUGAUGGCCUCCCGUGCGCCUAGCCGCGCGGUUGGCAUAAAUACCAAGUCCUCGGCGACGCACGCCACGACAAUCGGUGGUGGCGAAACCUCGGUUGCCCGUCGUGUGCGUUCGUCGCGCAUCGAGGGCUCGAAAAAAUGCUCGGCUCCGGCUGGGCUUUCAACGCGACCCCAGGUCAGGCGGGGUUACCCGCUGAAUUUAAGCAUAUCAAUAAGCGGAGA
rnacentral:misc_RNA from 1 species